UAGGGAAUAUUGGUCAAUGGGCGGGAGCCUGAACCAGCCAUGCCGCGUGCGGGAAGAAGGCCCUACGGGUCGUAAACCGCUUUUAUACGGGAACAACCGCAGCUGCGUGUAGCUGUCUGAGUGUACCGUAGGAAUAAGGAUCGGCUAACUCCGUGCCAGCAGCCGCGGUAAUACGAAGGGUGCAAGCGUUAAUCGGAAUUACUGGGCGUAAAGCGCGCGUAGGUGGUUAGGUAAGUUGGAUGUGAAAGCCCUGGGCUCAACCUGGGAACUGCAUCCAAAACUGCUUGGCUAGAGUACGGUAGAGGGUAGUGGAAUUUCCUGUGUAGCGGUGAAAUGCGUAGAUAUAGGAAGGAACACCAGUGGCGAAGGCGACUACCUGGACUGAUACUGACACUGAGGUGCGAAAGCGUGGGGGGGAGCAAACAGGAUUAGAUACCC
rnacentral:rRNA from 1 species